rnacentral:rRNA from 1 species
GGUUAAGCGAAUAAGCGUACACGGUGGAUGCCUAGGCAAUCAGAGGCGAUGAAGGACGUGCUAAUCUGCGAUAAGCGUCGGUAAGGUGAUAUGAACCGUUAUACCCG